GCCACUUGGAGAGGAACCCCCUACAACGUUGCCAUAUAAUGAUAGCGGGAUCAACAUUUCGGAAGAGCUGAAGAAUUGCACUUUAUGGAGAUCCAUGGAAGGCAACCAACAAACUACCGAAAGCAACGACGGACCUCGUGAACGCAAGCCUCAUAAAAACAAACAUAAACAUAAACACAAGCAUAAACACAAACACCAUCGUCAUCGUGGAGACGACUUCGGCCACGAACGGAAACUGUCGACCGUUGCCGAUGCACCGGAUCUGGAAAUGUUGGCGAACGACGACGAAACCGAUUCGCCAGGCAUCCCGCUUGUGACACUUACGACCGUUGACGAAUACGACAAGAAGGAAGGCGCGACUACCGAAACUACAAUGCAUAUUGAAGAUGAUGGCGAUCAACAUGCUGACGACACAAAACCACUCAGGCCAGUCAGUGUUUAGAAUUGAAAAUGUUUAUCCCCGGUGAGUAAUAUAGAGGUUCACAUUUGACUUCUACUACCGCUACCACUAUACCUUUCACUGCCUUAGUACACAUCUGAUUGGUUAAUCGGAUACAUCAAACACAUCUGAUUGGUUAAUCGGAUACAUCAAACACAUCUGAUUGGUUAAUCGGAUACAUCAAACACAUCUGAUUGGUUAAUCGGAUACAUCUAACGCAUCUGAUUGAUUAAUGGUACAGUAAAUACGAAGCUCUAGGAAGUCAAGUCUAAACCUCUCUAAUAAUUAUCCUUGUAAGCACUAAAUUUUGAAAGUGUACAAUUUUCAAUAAUCGUGUAUCUAAACUUAAUUGGGCUAUUUAUUUAUAGGAAUGAAAAUGUCCCGCGGCUUAAAUAAUUCCUGAGCAAAACGUAUAAACAGUAAUUUGCAAUGCGUCGUAGAUUAUUUACGGGGCCAUCGUUUAACGUUGUUUGUUAUCGCGACUUUGGUUUACUCGUUUUUCGCUUUCUAUUUAAGCCGAGGCCAUUUUCAUUCGUAUAAAUGGCCUCAUAUAUUCAGUACUGUAAAGGUCUCUUACACUGUAAAUUGGAAUUCUGUUUAAAACUAUUUUAUGGCCUUAAAUUAGCAAACUUCGUCAUUUGCGCCAUCUUGGGAUAGUUAACAAUCGCUUUCUCCAGAGCUACAGGAAAUUUACCCCUCCCCACUAUCACUAUCAUAUUGAGACUGACGCCCGUAUUCUAAAAGCUCACUCACACUCAAUGAGUGGAGGUUCAAUCUGAGCUUCUCUUGAGUGUCAAUGCUGUUUUUGAAUAGCUGGAGGGUGAGUAGUCACCGAGUAAGGUAUGACACUAGCCCUCCAGCUAUUCAAAAACAGCAUUAACACUCAAGUGAAGCUCAGAUUGAACCUCCACUCAUUGAGUGUGAGUGUGCUUUUAGAAUACGGGCGUGAGAUUUGACGUAGUGGUCGUAUUUUGGUCAAAAUAGAAUAGCUACGUGUGAAAUUAAUUUACCAAUUAUUUGUUGUUUUAUUAGGAAAAUGAAUGUUGAGGAAAAUGCAACCUAAUAUAAUGAACGGCGAAAAGAGUCACCUUAUGGAGUAGAAGGUAAUCCAGUAGAAUUAGAAACCGGUUGACACAUGAAGAAAACUGGUCAAUCGAUGUCAUCACAUCAAAGUUCAUCGAGUGUGCUGUGCUCAAAGUUCUUUCAUUCAUACGAGGUUGAAAUAUAGGUAAUCAUGACUCAAAUAAUACAACGCAUUAUUGAGUUAUUGUUUCAGCGAAGGCAACUUGCCAAUUUCCCAUUCUAAGGAAGUGGGGAAAUCCUUUUCAAACUAUUUAUGCUUGAUAGUUUAUGAAAGUGGAAGUGCAUUAUUAAACAUAUGUUUGUGAAGAGAUGUGUUAGAAAAUGGGUCAGUUUUCUUUACGUGUCAACCACACGAGCUAUGGGCUUGCUUGGUAUCAGAUAUCUCCGUGACCAGCCGAAAUUUUCUAUGGAUACACUGUAAAUUGCAAGGAAUUGAAUCAACUCCAAACGUGUUAUUCUAUCAUCAAAAAAACGAAGACAGAAUAACACUUUUGAAGUUGAUUCAAGUCCUCAAAAUUCACAAUGUGCCGAGAUCUCCAAUACGAAAACGAGAUGAAAUAACAUGCAACGUCAGAAUUUCGUAUUCGAAAAUUCUCAAAUUUAUCCAAUAUAUAAUGAGCAGUGCUGUACAGUAUGUUUGAAUACAAAUUCUUUGAAAUUUUUGUAUUCUUCAUACCACAGCCUACGUGAAUAUGAAGUGGCACACGCUGGUCAAAUUUAGCAAACUUUCUCCCAUUCAUGUGGGCUCAUAUUGUCAGCGGACAUCUCAGACAAAAUUUGCAGUUUAUCGGAAGUCCGCUGAAAAAUGAAUCUGCUGUACUGGAAAAUUUUCUGAAUAUUACCAGCCGGAAUUUAAUUGGGAGAAAUAAAGAAAAUAGAACAUUUCAAUCAGUGGAAUGAAUUGAUGCUGCAUAGAUAAGCAAGCCCUUAGUUCAAUGUCUGCUGCGGGCAGCAGUAGUAGGAGAGUGAAUUUCUCCAUUUUUUUCAAUUUUUUCAUUGAGUAAAACAGGAAGUAGAAUUUCUUAACCUUCUUGAAUAUUGUGAAUUGGUCGUAACUUAUUUAAUUUAAUUAUAAUGCGUUAAUAGAUCAUUAUUUCAAUGGAUGAUUGCAGCUAUUUAGACAAGAAGAGCGAAACCAUUACCAUAGCUGGAAAGAGUAUCUUAAAAUGAGUAUAAUUGCAAAGUUUGGUUGCGAAUUGUUGUAAAAUGAGGAAAAUAUAGCCCUGUGGAGUUCGCAAAUUUUGUAUAUAUUUGCAUUACGCGCGGGAAAAAUAACCUUUUUGUGUCAAAAUUCACAGGGCUAUGUUUUCUUCAUUUUACAACAUUUAGCAUCCAGUCUUUGUAGUUUUACUCACUCUAAGACGCUCUUUCUAGCUGUGGUGGUGGAUUUCGUUCUUAUUGCGUUGAUAAAAAUUUAGUCUACAGUUGGAAUCAGCCAUUGAUUCAAGCAGUAUACAGUAUAUAUGGAAAUAUAAUAGCAACAGUGAAAUAAACCCUGUAUACUAGCUGGUUUCAAUGUAUAGAUACGGUAAUGCAAGGACAAUGGGAUACAUUAUUAGAGUAAUAUCUUUACUAAGAGUGAAGGAAAACGGUGAUUAUUUAUUGGACAUUGUUCUCUGGGGUGGAAACAAAAUAUUGAAUACAUGGUUUCAAACUAAUAUGAAUAUUUCUGAUACGAAUAUGAAAAAUUAAUAUUUGAGGAAUAUUAAAGUAGGAAUAUUGAGUAUUAAAGAAAAAAAAUUCAUUGCUUCCACCCCCGAUGGACUUACAUUGCCUCAUCGUUUACUCUGGAUAUGACGUUCAAACGUUUCCUUAAUUUCACUUUUUGGCAUUUUGGAAAUGACUGAAUUGUCAAGAAAAUAGCUUUUAGUGGAGGAUAAUGGUUUGUGCGAGAAUUAACUAGUAGGGUGAAAAAAAAAUAUAAUAAAUUCUGUCUUAAAUUAGAAAAUAUUAUCAAUGUAUUCCCAAAUUUGAAAUUAUGGGGUAACCUUGAGCAUAUAUUUAUUAUGGUGUAGCGUUGAAGUGUUUUGUUUUAGUUCAGACAAAUGUAGUUUUUUUGAACACCAUUGCAUAGUGGACAAAUAUUUUAUUAUAAGUAAUAUCUCUUGUGCAAAUGUAGUCUACAUGUUCACUAAUUUUGUCAAAAAUAUAUAAUAAAAAUAAAAUCAACGAUUCAAUAUUUCAGUUGUAGUUUAUGAAUAGGUAAAAAUAAUGGUAAAAAUAACACCGUUCUGCGCAUGUGCUAUGUGACGACCCUAUGGGUGUAAACAAUACCCAAAUUUCGCAUUGUUUCGGACAUCAUCUAAAUUGAUGGUCGUGACUAAUGGGAUGGACUAGAGGCAUGUUUUAAAG